GACGAACGCUGGCGGCGUGCUUAACACAUGCAAGUCGAACGGAAAGGCCCUGCUGUUGUGGGGUGCUCGAGUGGCGAACGGGUGAGUAACACGUGAGUAACCGGCCCUUGACUUUAGGAUAACUUCAGGAAACUGGUGCUAAUACCGGAUAGGAGCUCCUGCUGCAUGGUGGGGGUUGGAUAGCUUGGGCGGUUGGGGAUGGACUCGCGGCUCAUCAGCUUGUUGGUGGGGUAGUGGCUUACCAAGGCUUUGACGGGUAGCCGGCCUGAGAGGGUGACCGGCCACAUUGGGACUGAGAUACGGCCCAGACUCCUACGGGAGGCAGCAGUGGGGAAUAUUGCACAAUGGGCGGAAGCCUGAUGCAGCAACGCCGCGUGCGGGAUGACGGCCUUCGGGUUGUAAACCGCUUUCGACUGUGACGAAGCGUAAGUGACGGUAAUGAGUGAAGAAGCACCGGCUAACUACGUG
rnacentral:rRNA from 1 species